UACGUAGGCAGCGAGCGUUGUUCGGAGUUACUGGGCGUAAAGGGUGUGUAGGCGGUUCUUUAAGUUUGGUGUGAAAUCUCCCGGCUCAACCGGGAGGGUGCGUCGAAUACUGAGGGACUAGAGUACGGGGAGAGGAAAGUGGAAUUCCUGGUGUAGCGGUGAAAUGCGUAGAUAUCAGGAGGAACACCGUGGUGUAGACGGCUUUCUGGACCGUAACUGACGCUGAGACACGAAAGCUGGGUAGCAAACAGG
rnacentral:rRNA from 1 species